rnacentral:piRNA from 1 species
UUCCUUCGGAAAUUUUUUUAU